GACGAACGCUGGCGGCGCGCUUAACACAUGCAAGUCGAGCGAGAACCAGGCCUUCGGGCCUGGGGACAGCGGCGAACGGGUGAGUAACACGUGAGUAAUCCACCCUCGGUACCGGAAUAGCCCGGGGAAACCCGGAUUAAUGCCGGAUGGCCCAUCUGCUCAUCGGAGCUGGAUGGAAAAGAUAGCUUCGGCCUUCGACCGGGGACGAGCUCGCGGCGGAUUAGCUUGUUGGCGGGGUAACGGCCCACCAAGGCGACGAUCCGUAGCUGGUCUGAGAGGACGAUCAGCCACACUGGGACUGAGACACGGCCCAGACUCCUACGGGAGGCAGCAGUGGGGAAUCUUGCGCAAUGGGCGAAAGCCUGACGCAGCGACGCCGCGUGAGGGAAGAAGGCCUUCGGGUUGUAAACCUCUUUCAGGAGGGACGAAGCCACUCGGGUGAAUAGCCCAGAGGGUGACGGUACCUCCAGAAGAAGCCCCGGCUAACUACGUGCCAGCAGCCGCGGUAAUACGUAGGGGGCAAGCGUUGUCCGGAUUUAUUGGGCGUAAAGAGCGUGUAGGCGGCUUCACAGGUCCGCUGUGAAAACUCGAGGCUCAACCUCGAGCUGUCGGUGGAAACCGUGUGGCUAGAGUCCGGAAGAGGAGAGUGGAAUUCCCGGUGUAGCGGUGAAAUGCGCAGAUAUCGGGAAGAACACCCGUGGCGAAGGCGGCUCUCUGGGACGGUACUGACGCUGAGACGCGAAAGCGUGGGGAGCGAACAGGAUUAGAUACCCUGGUAGUCCACGCCGUAAACGAUGGGUGCUAGGUGUGGGGGGUGUCGACUCCCUCCGUGCCGAAGCUAACGCAUUAAGCACCCCGCCUGGGGAGUACGGCCGCAAGGCUA
rnacentral:rRNA from 1 species